rnacentral:lncRNA from 1 species
AUAUUUGAACUCUCUGAUGUAAUUAGUCAUAUAACCUAUGUCUUGUUUAACAAAUUUUUAGAAUUGUGCAAGCGUCUCACCUGAUGUUCGGUUUGACUUUUUUAUUGUAUAAAUUUCAAGAUUGUAACAGCGUAAUCUAAGUAGUCUGAUAAUUGAUUCAUUCAACAUCACAAUCAUACAUACCGAUGAAGGAUAUCUGUUAUCCGAAAUAUUUAUAAAUAAUUACAUUUAUAGUUCCUUUUUAUGUUAUUGGUGUUGUUAUGUACACUUUUUAGGCGUUUUUAUAUAUAAGUACGUCUGAGCCAGUGACAACUCUACAACAGAUUUAUCCAUCGGAUCACAACAGUGAUGGUGAUACAUGGCUGUGUACAUUAUGUAUAUACAACUCGUCUAAACAUCAACCCAACAAUGUAAGAUCUGUAAAUUGCUUUCGCAAAUUUGUUGUUAUUCGCCGGGAUUCGAACCCAUGCUACAGAGAUAUCGUGACACCAAAUCGCUUGCACUGCAGCCGUCCCGCUAGACCACACGUCCACCUGGGUCGUAAAAAUUAAGCUUUCGGUGGUCGGGUGUUACCUUUCCACGUCAGUUUUAAUCUAGCGUCGUACUGCAGUACAUGAUAUAAGCAUAGGGAUGUUAUUUUUACAGAUCAGCUAAAUUAUCUAUAGUAAAGGAUCCUACAAGUUAAUGUAAGAUACAGUCACAGAAAAUAAUCAUAUUUAUAAGUACGUCUGAG